UUACUCCGUGAAUCGGAG
rnacentral:snRNA from 1 species